UGUCGUCUGCACCUCCCAUUAGUAUGUCAGCGCUAGGGGGCUGAAGCAUCACCUGAAGAAUUCCAGCAUGGUCACCUUUGGAGUGCUCAGGAGCAGGUGAAGCCCAAGUUCCAGGCCAGUGCGUGCCGUCUGCCAUCCAAGUGGCCUUCUGGAUCUUUAUAGGCUCUAAAGGGUCAGCUCCACUCUCCCUCAUGUGCUUCAACAUUUUCAUUUCCUCUCGUGCAUUAAAAGCAUCUGAUCUCCUCCUUAUCGAGUCUGG
rnacentral:misc_RNA from 1 species